rnacentral:rRNA from 1 species
UACAGGGGGUGCUAGCGUUGCUCGGAAUUACUGGGCGUAAAGGGCGCGUAGGCGGUUUCGCAAGUCAAGGGUGAAAUCCCGGAGCUUAACUCCGGAAUUGCUUUUGAUACUGUGAGGCUAGAGUGUAUUAGAGGAUGGCGGAAUUCCUAGUGUAGUGGUGAAAUACGUAGAUAUUAGGAAGAACACCGGUGGCGAAGGCGGCCAUCUGGGAUACAACUGACGCUGAGGCGCGAAAGCGUGGGGAUCAAACAGG